CCUACGGGCGGCAGCAGUGGGGGAUAUUGCACAAUGGGGGAAACCCUGAUGCAGCGACGCCGCGUGGGCGAAGAAGUAUUUCGGUAUGUAAAGCCCUAUCAGCAGGGAAGAAGAAAUGACGGUACCUGAGUAAGAAGCACCGGCUAAAUACGUGCCAGCAGCCGCGGUAAUACGUAUGGUGCAAGCGUUAUCCGGAUUUACUGGGGGUAAAGGGAGCGCAGGCGGCACGGCAAGCCUGAUGUGAAAGCCCGCGGCUUAACCCCGGAACUGCUUUGGAAACUUUUUUGCUGGAGUACCGGAGAGGUAAGCGGAAUGCCUAGUGUAGCGGUGAAAUGCGUAGAUAUUAGGAGGAACACCAGUGGCGAAGGCGGCUUACUGGACGGUAACUGACGUUGAGGCUCGAAAGCGUGGGGAGCAAACAGGAUUAGAUACCCCGGUAGUC
rnacentral:rRNA from 1 species